rnacentral:rRNA from 1 species
GACGAACGCUGGCGGCGUGCUUAACACAUGCAAGUCGAACGAUGAAGCCGGAGCUUGCUCCGGUGGAUUAGUGGCGAACGGGUGAGUAACACGUGAGCAAUCUGCCCUUGACUCUGGGAUAACUGCGGGAAGCUGUAGCUAAUACCGGAUACGACACCUUGGGGCAUCCCAGGGGGUGGAAAGAAUUUCGGUCAAGGAUGAGCUCGCGGCCUAUCAGCUAGUUGGUGAGGUAAUGGCUCCCCGGGGCGACGACGGGUAGCCGGCCUGAGAGGGUGACCGGCAACACUGAAGCAGAGACACGGCCCAGCCUCCUACGGGGGGCAGCAGUGGGGAAUAUGGCACAAUGGGCGAAAGCUUGAUGCAGAACCGCCGCGUGAGGGAUGAAGGCCUUGGGGUUGUAAACCUCUUUUAGCGGGGAAGAAGCAAAAGUGACGGUACCUGCAGAAAAAGCACCGGCUAACUACGUGCCAGCCGCCGCGGUAA